rnacentral:lncRNA from 1 species
GGAGGAUUCUGGGAAAGGUAGGAGAAAGUGCAGAGUCACCAUGUGAGCCUGGAAAGACAGGACGCUUGUUGAUGACAUUCAAUAAGCAGUGGGACCUGGCAAAACAAGGGAAAAUCCAGCAAUACUCCUGCCUCCAGAAUCUUGCCCUAUUUGAGUUCCUGUCCUGACUUCCUUCAGUGAUGAACAGCAACAUAAAAGUCCUAGAUGCCCCUCAACCGAAGAAUGGAUGGAGAAAAUGUACAUUUACACAAUGGAGUACUACUCAGCAGAAAAAAAAAAAAAAACAAUGGAAUCUUGAAAUUUGCAGGAAAAUGGAUGGAACUCGAAGAAACCAUUCUGAGCAAGCCUUCAUCCAGCAGCUGGUGGAAGUAGAAGUAGACACUCACAGCUAAACACUGAACUGAACUGGAAUCCAGUUGCAGAGAAGGAGGAAUGAUGAGCAAAGUGGACAAGACCUUGCUGGUGAAAUCCACAGAAACAGCUGACCUGAACAAGGUGGAACUCUUGGCCCCCAGACUGAUCAUGGGAAACCAGCAUAGGACUGAUCCAGACCCCAUGAAUGUGGGUGUCAGGGAGGAGGCCUCUGAAAUCUAUGGGGCCUCUUGUAGUAGAUCAGUACUUAUCCCUAGCAUAGGAAUGGACUUUGGGAGCCCAUUUCACAUAGAGGGAUACUCCCUCAGCCUAGACACACAGGGGAGGAGGGCCUAGGCCCUAUCCCAAAGGAUAUGACAGACUCUGAAGAGAUCCCCUAUGGAAGGCCUCACCCUCCCUGGGGAGCAGAAAUGGUAUGGAAUAGGUAGGGUGUUUAUUGGGGGGCAGGGGAGGAGAAGAGGGAGAGGGAACUGGGAUUUACAUGUAAAACAAUAUUGUUUCUAAUUUAAAUAAAA